ACACAGCAGUUAAGCCCUUCAGCGCCGAUGGUACUUGGGGGGAGACCCCCUGGGAGAGUAGGUCGCUGCCGGAU
rnacentral:rRNA from 1 species